rnacentral:rRNA from 1 species
AUUGAACGCUGGCGGCAGGCCUAACACAUGCAAGUCGAGCGAGCGGCGGACGGGUGAGUAAUGUCUGGGGAACUGCCCGAUAGAGGGGGAUAACUACUGGAAACGGUGGCUAAUACCGCAUACUAUCGGAUGUACCCAGAUGGGAUUAGCUAGUAGGUGGGGUAAAGGCUCACCUAGGCGACGAUCUCUAGCUGGUCUGAGAGGAUGAUCAGCCACACUGGGACUGAGACACGGCCCAGACUCCUACGGGAGGCAGCAGUGGGGAAUAUUGCACAAUGGGCGCAAGCCUGAUGCAGCCAUGCCGCGUGUAUGAAGAAGGCCUUCGGGUUGUAAAGUACUUUCAGCGGGGAGGCGUUACCCGCAGAAGAAGCACCGGCUAACUCCGUGCCAGCAGCCGCGGUAAUUC